UAAAAAAUCAUUGAUACAUAUGUGCAGUUUCUUGUCUUUAUAUUAUAUUAUUUAUAUAUCAUAACGCCGGAGCAUCGGCGCAUAAGCUGCAAAGAACGAGUAAAUGGCACAAGAGGUAAAAUCAGCUGCGAUAUGGCUGCUGUUGUUGCUUCAAAGUAGCGCAAUUGUUCUUAGCGAACGCACGCGUGAUAAAAUAUAUCAACCUAUUAUAGGCGCAAGCUGCUUUCGACGCUUAAACGGCACUCAUCAGACAGGAUGCUCAUCAACAUACUCUGGUUCAGUUGGGGUGCUGCACUUGAUAAAUUUAGAAGCAGACUUGGAAUUUUUGAUCAGUAGUCCUCCGUCACCUCCUUACGCUCCCCUGAUUCCACCACAUUUGUUUACAAGAGCCAACCUGCUACGUCUCAAAGAAGCCGGACCGAGAAUAAUAUCCGUUGUACUGCUAAUCAACAGGCCCAAAAAAAUGUCACAAUUUUCGCAUGAACUUAACUGUCCCAAUCAGUACAGCGGUCUAAAAUUGGACAACAGAAGCGAGACCGUCACUUGCGAUACUACCAACGUGGGCAACACCUGGAAUCGUUGGGGCACUGGCCUUCUGCAUGAGGACUUUCCAUUUCCUAUUUACUAUAUAGCUGAUGCUGAAGAAAUUGAGAAACUGGAAAACUGUUUUGAAAAAUUUAACAACUUUGAUUAUGCGUCCCAUGCCUUGCGUAGCCUAUGUGCUGUGGAAGUAAAGUCUUUUAUGUCAGCAGCUGUUAACUCUGAAGUUUGCAUGCGUCGUACUAAUUUUAUAAACAAUCUUGGAGGCAGCAAAUAUUGUGAUCCCUUGGAGGGUCGGAAUGUUUAUGCAACAUUGUAUCCGCGAAAUUCACCUGAAAACUUAGAAGCUAAUGCUGCACGCAGCGUCAAUGCUAACGAGAAGUUUAUUAUUGUGUCAUGUCGUUUAGACACUACAAGCAUGUUCGAUGGUCUGGGUUUGGGCGCAAUGGAUUCGCUCCUGAGCCUGGCUACUCUAACCCAAGUGGCUCAUAUGCUGCGCCUACUGUUGCCUGCGCAGAGCACGCUGCCUGAUCCGAAACGCAAUGUGCUUUUUGUGGCAUUUAAUGGCGAGUCUUAUGACUACAUUGGGUCUCAGCGAUUUGUCUACGACAUUGAACAUCUGGCUUUUCCUACCCGCUCCACACUUAGUACUCCUAUUUCAUUUGAAAACAUUGAGUUUAUGCUGGAUAUUGGCACACUAGACGACAUAGGAAAUAUUAAGCUUCACACACUUACCUCAACGCCGCUGGCUCAGCAAUUGUUGCAAAAGCUCAACCGAUACGCCAAGUCACCGCGAUAUGGUUUUAAUGUUAACAUCGAAUCAAACGUGGGCUAUCAAAUACCACCCACAUCAGCGCAAUCCUUUUUGCGUCGCGAAACCAAGUUUCCGGCAUUAAUCUUAAACGCUGUGCCAGGCAAUAAAUACUAUCACUCCAUAUAUGAUGAUCUUGAUAACGUGGCCUUUAUAUAUGCCAAUACGAGCGAAGAUUUUACAAUAUUGGCUGAUAUAAACGAUAAAAAAUACUUCGACUCCGAUUCCUUGCAAAUGAAGGUGCGCAAUGUCUCAUCCAUAGUGGCAAUGACGCUUUAUGAGACUUUAACGGGCAAACAAUACCAAGGCAAUGAAGUGGCCAAUUCAAUACUGGCCGAUGAGUUCUUCUACUGUUAUCUGCAAUCUUCCGAUUGUCCUCUUUUUAAAGCUUCUUCAUAUCCGAACAGUCCAGCCGGUCUACCGUUGCCGCCUAUGCGGUACAUAAGUGUACUGGGUGGUUCACAAGAAUCAUCGGGUUGGACAUAUCGACUGCUCGGCUAUCUGCUCUCACAUCCGGAGCCAAAUGUGCCAAAAGAAAACUGCAGUCAGCUACCACUAUUUUAUUUUGCCGGCAUCAAUGGCACUGGAGAGUGUCGUCGUACAACGCAGAAUUUUACAAGUGCACUAAGUCCGGCAUUUCUCAUUGAAGACUACGAUUGGCGUUCAGGGCAAUACUCUACAUGGACUGAAUCCACUUGGUCACAGUUCAGCGCACGUAUCUUCCUACGUCCGUCAAAUGUGCAUGAAAUAACCACUCUAAGCAUUGGCAUCGUGGUGUUUAUAAUUUCCUUCUGUUUAAUAUAUAUUAUCAGCUCACGCUGGGAGGUGCUCUUUGAGGAUGUGCCUGCUAGUAAUGCGGCGUAAGUUUUAAAAAACAACUCUACCUACACAUCUCCGUAGACCAAGGGGGUAACCAUUUUAAACUUGGAUUGGGUCAUAUCGCUAUUAAUUUCAUAUUAUUUAAUUGAUGUAUUUGAAGUUGGCCCUGCAGCAAAAACCACAAGAGCGCCUUUAUUACAUAACUAUUAGCUGUGCAUGCAAUUCUCACUUCAAAAUACUUAGUGACCCGAUUUAAAUUUAUAAUUAACUUUUGUAUUAACCUCAUUUGACUUGCAAUUCUAGAUUGCCACCGCCAACGGCCUGUUAGUGGCAGGACAAUCGGGAAGCUCCCUACCUAAUAGGAAAACCUAAUAUAAGAAAAACCACAAAAACACUUGAAUAAAUUUCAUAGCAAUAAUCAAUAACUAUUAUGUAUAACCCAUGAUAACUUAAAAACCUCUAACAGAUACCUUAUAUUCCAAUUGCUUACUUUAAGUGCUAGAAAAUAAAUAUUUGUUUAUAUAAGCUUUUGUAUUUAAAAGACGUUACAAGCAAUUAGAGUAUUUUUGUAUCAUAAUUAGCAAUUAAAGGAUAUCUAUGGAAAUGUUUUUGUUUCUUGUCUUGUUUGCUUAAUACUAGAAUUUAUAAAAAUAAGCAGAAAACUGAACCUAUAAGGAGGCCAAUAAAUAAGGUCGCAGUUAAUGCAUAUAAUUAAUCUUUAUGCUAAGUUUUAAUCUUGAUGUUUUAUUUUAAAAAGCAGAAAUAAAAUUAUUUAGAUAUUUUUUUUUGAA